CUCACUAUUGCAGAAGGUAGGUCAAAUCUAUGUAAACACAGAAUUAGUCUAAACAUUUUUUCUUUAUUUUAAACCCCCAUAACAUAUACUCAGAUACACGUGGCACACUGACAUAGUUAUAGGGGAUAGUAUUAGAAACCGAAAAUCGCGUGCAAAUGCAAAAGCUGUGAGUUAGUUUACCUUCAAGAAUCUAGUGAAUACAAACUUUAACUUUAAUAAUACUUUAAGUAAGGGAAGUUUGUGUUAUUCAACAAUCUAAUAAACUUUAUAGUGGUAGGUAUGUGUUACUCAAACUCGAAAUAUGGGAGGCUUGUGUAUUUCUUGAAAACGAUUGAGGUUUCAUGGGAGAUAUCAAUUAUUCAAACUUGAAAUAAGGAAUAUUUUUGUAAUUUUUGAACCCAGAUGAUGUCUCUAAACUUGUUGAAAACCUAAGGGGAAGUCUCAAAUUUGCCCUAAUUUUACGGCACUUGUUCUUGACAUGCAACUUGUUCUACGAGUGAGUUGUUAGUGUGGG
rnacentral:lncRNA from 1 species